AAGACCUUGCGCUUUUAGAGCGGCCGAUGCCUGAUUAGCUUGUUGGUAAGGUAAAAGCUUACCAAGGCUUCGAUCAGUAGCUGGUCUGAGAGGACGGCCAGCCACACUGGGACUGAGACACGGCCCAGACUCCUACGGGAGGCAGCAGUGGGGAAUUUUGGACAAUGGGGGCAACCCUGAUCCAGCCAUGCCGCGUGAGUGAAGAAGGCCUUCGGGUUGUAAAGCUCUUUCAGCCGGAACGAAACGGUUACGGUUAAUACCCGUGACUACUGACGGUACCGGAAGAAGAAGCACCGGCUAACUACGUGCCAGCAGCCGCGGUAAUACGUAGGGUGCGAGCGUUAAUCGGAAUUACUGGGCGUAAAGCGUGCGCAGGUGGUUUUGUAAGUCAGAUGUGAAAUCCCCGGGCUCAACCUGGGAACU
rnacentral:rRNA from 1 species